rnacentral:rRNA from 1 species
GACGAACGCUGGCGGCGUGCUUAACACAUGCAAGUCGAACGAAGUGGCGAACGGGUGAGUAACGCGUAAUCAACCUGCCCUUCAGAGGGGGACAACAGUUGAAAACGACUGCUAAUACCGCAUACUGAAGGAGGGGAUUGCGUCGUAGUAGCUAGUUGGCGGGGUAACGGCCUACAAAGGCGACGAUCCGUAACUGGUCGGAGAGGAUGCUCAGGCACACUGGACUGGAGACACGGGCCAGACCCCUACGGGAGGAAGCAGUGGGAAAUAUUGGACAAUGGGCGAAAGCCUGAUCCAGCCAUGCCGGGUGUGGGAAGAGGGUCUUCGGUUUGUAAGCACUUUAAGUUGGGAGGCGUUACCAACAGAAGAAGCACCGGCUAACUUCGUGCCAGCAGCCGCGGUAAUUC